rnacentral:rRNA from 1 species
UACGGAGGGUGCGAGCGUUGUCCGGAAUCACUGGGCGUAAAGGGCGCGUAGGCGGCCUGAUAAGUAGGGGGGUGAAAUCCUGCGGCUUAACCGCAGGGCUGCCUUCUAAACUGUCAGGCUCGAGCACAGUAGAGGCAGGUGGAAUUCCCGGUGUAGCGGUGGAAUGCGUAGAUAUUGGGAGGAACACCAGUGGCGAAGGCGGUCCCCUGGGCCGGAACUGACGCUGAGGCGCGAAAGCGUGGGUAGCAAACGGG